rnacentral:lncRNA from 1 species
UCUCUUCAUUGUACGGUUUGUAUGGAUUUCAGAUUUCUUAAUACUUUUCGUAUUCAUUAUACAAUAUACUAAUUAUUGAUCAAUAUGAUAAAGUUGCUAUACGAGUAUCUUUGGUUGUGUAGACUGUAUCCUUAUUACUGCAGCUUGAUUACGUUUAAGUUCAUAUUGCUUGAAAGGAAAAGUUUCCGUGCAAAGGUGCAUCUUUGUCUUCAUGUAUUAGUACUACAGCUUGAUUGCUUUAAGUUCAUGUUAGUAUUUGCAUAUUCCGCUCAAUAAUUUCCAUGGUGAAAAGUUAGAAUUCAUUAAAUUUCAGAACCCUCUUAGGUACUUGUUCAGUUAUUUAACGUCACAAAUCUUUAAGUUUCAGGUUUUUAAAGAAUUAAGAAGUUAGACAAUUUUUCGAGAACUCCCGUUUCAUCAUUUGAAGCAAUGGUUGGAAAUAGAAUUGCUACAUUUUACUUAUCCAUUGAAGUACAAAGAAGAUUGUGAGGAGGAAGGAUAUCGCUCCACUAAAGGAAGGACGGUGUAUUUAUAUA